GUUGGUUCAUAUAAAUGUCAAAGUUACAUAAAUGUUAAUUUUACAGUUUCUCAUCUGUGUAAUUUCUUGUCACUGAUCAUGAUGUGCAUUUUAGCUAGUAUUUUCUGAACAGAUAAAAUUAGUGAACAGCAGCAGCUGGGGAAGUUUCAAAAUGGUGGGUCAGUAGACCCUACACCCAGAACCUGACUGUGUCCAUUUAAUCCCAUGUACUGAACCCCUGAUCCA